GGGCACUGGGACCCGUGUGCGGGGUUAUCGUGGUUGAACGUGUGCCUCAAGCGCUCCACUUUGCUGGGCCCUGUGACGCCGAUGACCUCGAAGCGGAAUUCAGUCGUCGUCUCUGUCUCGUCUUGCUCCCUACCGAGGAGCCGCCGACUGCCACUACCCCACCUUCUUAAUGGACGGAUCAAGAUUAAUUCUGAGUAAUGAACAAACCAAAAGUCAAGUGCAAAUUAGGAAAAGUUGACACGGUGUAUCGCCUUUACAUUCCUUUUUGUUUCUACGUAUACUGUAUAACUUUUGCAACGAAGAACCUAUAUAGCUGUGUAAUCUAGAUCGUUCGUUGAUUUAACAACAACCAAUGAGGAUUAGAACUCAUGUGUACAAGAGAAAAUCAUAAGGUCACAAUAUGUAUGCACAUAUUUCUAGCAAUUCCACAAACAUAUGACAAAUGUAGAUGAAAACAGUAAUAUUAUGUUGAUAGUGUGCUAGCAUGAUGUUAUCAUCUGAUCUGCCAAGUUCAUGAUCAGUGUAGUUUGGCCAAUGCUUUGUCGAAAUCAAUCACAAGUCCUUAACUACUCAUUACUUUUUGCGGGAAGGGUGCUUAACUAAUUGAAGUGGCUGAACCAAAUUAUUAAUCAACUAUGUUCCCUCAGGGAGGGCACCUGAGUGAACCGAUCGAGUUGACGUUCCCUCAAAGGCUCAUUUGAGUGUACACACUACCAGAGAAUGUUUCCUGGGAAAACACUCCCAACAAAUGCUCAGGAAUUGCCAUGCUAUAACAAAUAUAUUGCCUAAUGUAGAUUCUAAUAACUGAAGGACACAUGACCUCGUGGAUAAAUAUAU
rnacentral:rRNA from 1 species